rnacentral:rRNA from 1 species
UACAGGGGGGGCAAGCGUUGUUCGGAAUUAUUGGGCGUAAAGAGCUCGUAGGCGGUCUGUCGCGUCGAUCGUGAAAACUUGGGGCUUAACCCUGAGCUUGCGGUCGAUACGGGCAUGACUAGAGUUCGGUAGGGGAGUCUGGAAUUCCUGGUGUAGCGGUGAAAUGCGCAGAUAUCAGGAGGAACACCGGUGGCGAAGGCGGGACUCUGGGCCGAUACUGACGCUGAGGAGCGAAAGCGUGGGGAGCGAACAGG